GGACAGGGACACGGGGAGCCGGGGAGCUCUGCGGGCUCCUCCAUUCCUGUGGAGCAUCCUGCCCACGCCUGCCCGGGGUCUCCUCCGAGGCCAUCCCUGGGGACAGCUUGGUGCCGCAAGCUCAGGGCUGUCAGGGUGAUUAUUUUUACCCUGUUUGUGUCUCUCGAGCCGCUGAAUGAAAGCUGAAGGGGACACGGGGAGGGACAGCCUGGCUCUGGCUCACACGCUGCAGAUGUGGGGCGGGUGUCAGGGAUGUGACGCUGGGUCUGGCUGUCCCCAGAGUGUCACUGCGGGCUCAUCGCGCCCUUUCAGGGGGUGGUGGGAGGGGUGGAGGCCUGAAUUGUGUCUUUGCGUGACUAAAACUCGUUAAAGGUCCCUGAGAUGAGUCUCAGGGAAACCCGAAUUUCCCUCAGAUCCGGGAGAAGCUGGUUUGGCACUGACUGCGAAUCAGCAGGGGCAGGCGAAGGACGGGACCCACCUCAGUCAGAGGGGGACUCUCACCGGGGCCAAACCUUUCCUCUUGCAGUCUCUCCACAUUUGGGUUUUUAUUAUAAUAAGGUGAAUUUCGGUAACUAGAACCACGAAGUCACUUUUCCUUUCAACAAUCAUCGAAGACGGAAGAGGGGGGAAAAAGUCACUUUAUAAAGGACCCGGCACUCGCCCAGGACGGUGACUCUGAACGUGGUUCUCGGUGCUGGCUCCUUCACCAGGAUCCCUUUGGUGUUUCCCAGUCCCUGUUUCCCAGGAGGGAGCAGCCCCAGCUGAGGAAUGACUCCCAGCUUUGUAUUUUAACAAAUGACCUGAGACACUGAACCGAUGCUGUUUACUCGGCUGGGCAUGAGCUCAGAGUCCAGAGCUGCCUCCCAAAGGGCUCUCCUGGAUACCCUGAGCAGGCCUCCCUGUAAUUACAUUCCAGGGAAAACAGACAUCUCCUGAUUCAUUUAAUAUGUGCCACGUUGCAUUUAGAUAUGUAACAGAAGCCCCAUUACCUUAAAAGUCCUGCUGUUAUCAACUACUGGCUUAAUUACAGUUUUAUCUAAAAAUAGAUCAAGUUAACUUGACAGAAUCCAUUUGUCCUUCUCCCCUGGCUCCCAGAGAUGUUUCCUCCCCGCAGUUCCUGCUCCAUCAUGACCAGCAUCAAUCCACUGCCACAGCCUUUCCCCAGGAGCUGCUGAGAUCCCACAGGCAUUUUGCUAUUCCUUCACCACGGUCUUCCAAAAUUACCAAGCACAGAAUCACAGACUUGUGGAGUGGUUUGGAUUGGAAGAAACCUUAAAGCCCAACUUGUUCCAGCUCCUGCCAUGGGCAGGGACAGCUCCCACUGCCCCAGCUUGCUCCAAGCCCUGUCCAACCUGGCCUUGGGCACUGCCAGGGAUCCAAGGGCAGCCACGGCUGCUCUGGGCACCCUGUGCCACUUACAUAUAAAUACAAAUAUACAAAAAUACAUAUGCAUAUAUAAAUAUCUAAACACAGAGAGCCCAGGAGGCUCCUCAGGCUCUGGUUAUCCAGCUCUGGCUGUUUUUAACCUUUCUGACCUUGGGACCUGCUGCCACCCAGGGGAUUCCUGUGGGCAGGAUGUGGUGCAUCACCCACUGCUCUUUUGUGGUCGUUCCCAUCUCCCACCCAAGGUGAGGCCCAGAGCCAGCAUCUGCUCAUCAGCCUCACUUUCCUCUUUCCUCUGAUUGUUGUGUGGUUUCCACAGCUUUGCAGCUGCCUCUCUUCCCUGGAAGCCAAGCCAAGGCAGCUUUCUUCCCACUGGGGAAGGAAAAGGCUCCGAGCAGUGUCUGUCAUCAGCAGUGGUGGCUCUGAGGAAAGGUGGCAAAGUCCUGUCUGUGAACAUCCCCUCAGAGCUGUCCCAGCUGCUCCCUGGGCUCUGCUGGGCACUCUCUGGCUUUUCUUUUAUUUCCCAUGUGCUUGACAACCAACACAGACUUUCCUCUCCUCAUUUUGGCACGAGCAGGACGAGGCCGUGCUCCGGCACUGCCGGUGGGACUGCAGGUGCUGCUGCUGCAGGGCUGGACCUGGCUGGAGCAGGGAUGGAUGGACUUGGAGGAUCCCAGAUCUCCCUGGGUGCCACUGGUGGAUCUUUCUUUGCCUCACUGCCUCAGAAGGGUUUUUCUCCCCGCUGGGUGAGGGAGGGAGGGGAGGGCAGCCCAGGACCCCGGCGUGGUGGCUCACUCAGGAAUGUCAGCUCCGCUGGAUUUUCUGACCUGAACCCAUGAGGAAAACAGAACUGGGCCUCCUGUGUCUGAGAGCUGCUCCAGGAGAUACCUCACCACCCAAAAUCUCCAAGAAUUCCUGGUUUUGUCUUUGUCAGCCCAGCAAACAGUGUCAGGCCAGGGCUGGGCACACAAAGCAAGGUCGGUUAGAAGCCGUUCUCCUGGAACAGAGGCACUUGGAGCCGGCACAAAGGAAUCUCUGUCUCUCCCCUGCACUGGCAUCCUGGCAAUUAACCCGGAAAAUCGCAGCUUGGCCUUGUCCUGGGCGCUGAGUGCGGGGCUGGGCAGGACAGGGGGCGGCCGGGGUCCGGCUGUGCGGGGACAGGGAGCGGCCACAGCCCCACUGGGAAAUGCCAAAUGAACGGGAAACUCGCCUGAUCCAGAAAAAAGUGAGGAAAUCAUUUGGGUUUCUACACUCAGCUGGAUUUAGGAGAUGUGUGUCCAAAACCCGGAAAAAUUAAGAGUCACCUGAUGAGAGCAUCGUGGAAGAGCCUGAGCUGGAAGGGAUCCAUGGGGAUUGUUGUGUGCAGCUCCUGGCCCUGCACAGGACAUUCCCAAAAAUCACACCAUGGAUCCAGCGUGGGCAUCCUGACAGAAACACCGAGCUGCUCCCAUCCCCAUGGAACAGCCACUGUGCUGGGAGCACCAGGCAGAAACCCAGCCCUGCCCUGCCAGGCUCUGCUGGAAACAUCAGAGCUCAUCACAGCGGCCUGGGCAGGGCUGGUGGGGCAGAUAAGCCCAGCAUGGGCUGUGACAGCCUCGAGUGUGUCACAGCACUGGCACCACCGUUAGAAACACUGCAAUUAACUGCCCAGGCUGGGCUGAUGGAUGUGCAAUUACUCCUGAGUAAUUAAGAAAUAUUCUGCAUUGGGUUUGCCACUGCUCUUCUCACUGAAAAAGUGAGAGAUGAAGCCAAUUUAAAAGCAGUUUUUAAAAUUUUGGGGUUGUUAUUUUCACCUUUUUUUUGUUUCACUUUUUACUAUGUAAAGUCCUUGGCAAACCUCCCUGCAGCUGAUAAAGGCACAAAGGAGUGAGGGAA